rfam:Hordeum vulgare subsp. vulgare, WGS project CAJW01000000 data, contig: morex_contig_138106
CUAGUACUCCCUCCGUCCGGAAAUACUUGUCGGAGGAAUGGAUGUAUCUAGAUGUAUUUUAUUUCUGGAUACAUCAAUUAUUAUCCACUUUUAUGAUAAAUAAUUCCGGACGGAGGGAGUAUAUA